CCUACGGGUGGCAGCAGUGAGGAAUAUUGGUCAAUGGUCGGGAGCCUGAACCAGCCAAGUAGCGUGAAGGAUGACUGCCCUACGGGUUGUAAACUUCUUUUAUAAAGGAAUAAAGUGAGGCUCGUGUGCCUUUUUGUAUGUACUUUAUGAAUAAGGAUCGGCUAACUCCGUGCCAGCAGCCGCGGUAAUACGGAGGAUCCGAGCGUUAUCCGGAUUUAUUGGGUUUAAAGGGAGCGUAGAUGGGUUGUUAAGUCAGUUGUGAAAGUUUGGGGCUCAACCGUCAAAUUGCAGUUGAUACUGGCUGCCUUGAGUACAGUUGAGGUAGGCGGAAUUCGUGGUGUAGCGGUGAAAUGCUUAGAUAUCACGAAGAACUCCGAUUGCGAAGGCAGCCUACUAGACUGCCACUGACGUUGAUGCACGAAAGUGUGGGUAUCAAACAGGAUUAGAUACCCGUGUAGUC
rnacentral:rRNA from 1 species